UGUGACAUAAUAAUAAUUCUUAAUACAGUAUAAUUUAUUUAUUUAUCAUAAAUAUAAAUUAUAAAAUUUACUUAUAAAAUUUACACACUAAAAUUAUAAUUGUAUAUAUUAUUUUGUUAAUGUUUAUACUCGUGUCAUCUAGUAAGUAGUCAAUGGUUUCAUUUUUGUAAACCACAUCAAUGGCAGGUUCGAUCAAAGGGAGAUACCACGAGAAUUUAGCAUGAUACAUAUAACUAAGCAACAUAUUCACGUUCUGAAGAAAUAUUGGAAGAUGCUUUAAAAGGAACCAGCCUGUUACCACUCUCCUCUUUAUAAUAAUCAUAUUUCCACUUGUUUGUUUAAUCUGCUAAGAUAAUUCAUUGAUUAUAAAUCUCUUUAGCAAGUGUCGUUAACUCCACCGGAAAAACAUCUUAAAACUAAAGUAUAUCUGGAAUUUCUUGAUAUUUAACAAAAAAAAAUGGGCAAUUGUCAAUAAUAGCACCUUUUGAAGUUUAUGUCACAAAAAGAGCACUAGAAGGAGAAAGUCACAAAAAUGACAUUCAUUAAAGGGUAAAAUGUCCCUAAUAUCCUUGGUUUAAAUUAAAUAAACAAACAAAAAUAAAUAAAAAAAUAAAAAAAAAAAAAAAAAUAAAAAAUAAAAAAAAUAAAAAAAAUAAAAAUUUUUUUUAUAGUUUCAGAUUAUAUGUUUUCAGAUUCGAAAUUUUUAUAAUUUUUUUUUAAAAAAAAAUUUUGAAUUUUUUUUUAUUUUUUUUCAAAUUUUCUUUUUAUAGUUUAAAAAUAAUUUUUGAAACUGUUUUAUAAAUUUUUAUUUUUUAUUUUAGUAUUUAUUUUUUAUAAAAUUUUAAACCCUAAUUCCAAAACCCCACCCCCUUAACUCUAAACCCUAAGGUUUGGAUUAAUUAACCCAAGGGGUAUAAGUGUAUAUUUACCUCUUUAAUGAAACCUAUUUUUGUGACUUUGAGCCUUGAGUGCUACUUUGGGAACAAAAACUUGGUUUGGUGCUAU
rnacentral:lncRNA from 1 species